rnacentral:rRNA from 1 species
UACGGAGGGAGCUAGCGUUGUUCGGAAUUACUGGGCGUAAAGCGAACGUAGGCGGCUUUGUAAGUUAGAGGUGAAAGCCUGGAGCUCAACUCCAGAAUUGCCUUUAAGACUGCAUCGCUCGAGUCCGGGAGAGGAGAGUGGAAUUCCGAGUGUAGAGGUGAAAUUCGUAGAUAUUCGGAAGAACACCAGUGGCGAAGGCGGCUCUCUGGACCGUUACUGACGCUGAGGUGCGAAAGCGUGGGGAGCAAACAGG